rnacentral:rRNA from 1 species
GAUGAACGCUGACAGAAUGCUUAACACAUGCAAGUCAUUGGCGAAGCUGCGCUUGCGCAGUCUAGCCAAGGCGGACGGGUGAGUAACGCGUAAGGAACUUGCCCUGCAGACAGGGAUAACAGACGGAAACGACUGAUAACACCUGGUGUUGUCAGGCUGGCGCAUGCCGGACUGAUGAAAGGAGACGCUGCAGGAGAGCCUUGCGUCCUAUUAGCUAGUUGGUGGGGUAACGGCCCACCAAGGCGAUGAUAGGUAGCCGGCCUGAGAGGGUGAACGGCCACAAGGGGACUGAGAUACGGCCCUUACUCCUACGGGAGGCAGCAGUGGGGAAUAUUGGACAAUGGGGGCAACCCUGAUCCAGCAAUUCUGUGUGCACGAAGAAGGUUUUCGGAUUGUAAAGUGCUUUCAGCAGGGAAGAAGAAAGGACG